rnacentral:rRNA from 1 species
CCCUUAGAUGUUCUGGGCCGCACGCGCGCUACACUGAAGGGAUCAGCGUGUUUUCCCUUUCCGAGAGGAACGGGUAACCCGCUGAACCCCCUUCGUGGUAGGGAUCGGAGCUUGCAAUUGUUCUCCGUGAACCAGGAAUUCCCAGUAAGCGCAAGUCAUAAGCUUGCGUUGAUUACGUCCCUGCCCUUUGUACACACCGCCCGUCGCUACUACCGAUUGAAUGGUUUAGCAAGAUCUUCGGAUUGGCGCCUGAGCAGUUCUCUGCUCUUGGUGUCCGAGAAGAUGGUCAAACUUGAUCAUUUAGAGGAAGUAAAAGUCGUAACA